rnacentral:rRNA from 1 species
AAUGAACGCUGGCGGCAUGCCUAACACAUGCAAGUCGAACGGCAGCACAGUAAGAGCUUGCUCUUACGGGUGGCGAGUGGCGGACGGGUGAGGAAUACAUCGGAAUCUACUUUUUCGUGGCGGAUAACGUAGGGAAAGUUACGCUAACACCUCAUACGACCUACGGCUGGAUGCAGGGGAUCGUCGGACCUUGCGCGAUUGAAUUAGCCGAUGUCGGAUUAGCUAGUCGGCGGGGUAAAGGCACACCAAGGCGACGAUCCGUAGCUGGUCUGAGAGGAUGAUCGGCCACACUGGAACUGAGACACGGUCCAGACUCCUACGGGAGGCAGCAGUAGGGAAUAUUGGACAAUGGGCGCAAGCCUGAUCCAGCCAUACCGCGUGGGUGAAGAAGGCCUUCGGGUUGUAAAGCCCUUUUGUUGGGGAAGAAAAGCAGCAGGUUAAUACCCCGCUGUUCUGACGGUACCCAAAGAAUAAGCACCGGCUAACUACGUG